rnacentral:rRNA from 1 species
UACGGAGGAUGCGAGCGUUAUCCGGAUUUAUUGGGUUUAAAGGGUGCGUAGGCGGACGCUUAAGUCGGCGGUAAAAUUGCGGGGCUCAACCUCGUCGAGCCGUUGAAACUGGGUGCCUUGAGUGGGCGAGAAGUACGCGGAAUGCGUGGUGUAGCGGUGAAAUGCAUAGAUGUCACGCAGAACUCCGAUUGCGAAGGCAGCGUACCGGCGCCCAACUGACGCUGAAGCACGAAGGCGUGGGUAUCGAACAGG